rnacentral:rRNA from 1 species
ACGAACGCUGGCGGCGUGCUUAACACCUGCAAGUCGAACGGAAAGGCCCUGCUUGCAGGGUCCUCGAGUGGCGAACGGGUGAGUAACACGUGGGUGAUCUGCCCUGCACUUCGGGAUAAGCCUGGGAAACUGGGUCUAAUACCGGAUAGGAGCCAUUUUUAGUGUGAUGGUUGGAAAGUUUUUUGGGUGUAGGAUGAGCUCGCGGCCUAGCAGCUUGUUGGGGGGGUAAUGGCCUACCAAGGCGGCGACGGGUAGCCGGCCUGAGAGGGUGGACGGCCACGUUGGGACCGAGGUGCGGCCCAGACUCGUACGGGAGGGAGCAGGGGGGAAGAUUGCAGAAUGGGCGCAAGCCUGAUGCAGCGAGGCCGCGUGGCGGAUGACGGCCUUCGGGUUGUAAACUCCUUGCGCUAGGGACGAAGCUUUUUGUGACGGUACCUAGAUAAGAAGCACCGGCUAACUACGUG